GCCAGCAUGAUGUAGUGGUUUGAGCAUUGGACUACAACUCUGAAGACCAGGGUUGAAAUCCCUGGUCAGCCA